GCGGGGCCUCCCGGCCGUGGUAGUUCCCGCCGACGGCCGCUGCGGCCUGGGGUCCCGAGUACCCCUCCGGAGGGCCGCGGGGCCGGCCGGCAUCUCGGCCCCGGCUCCUCCCCCGUGAGAGCACCUGGCCGCCCUCGACGCUGCCCCCUCGCUUCUUGCCCUGACUUGGUCGCGACCUCGGCCGCGGGGCUCCUGGCAGCCCGGCUCCCGGUGCGUGGCCGCGCCCUCCCUCCUGACCCACGGGGUCUGAACCCAGGGCCGGAGGGCGUGUCUCCCCCAACCGGGGACCCUCCGCCUGUCGUCGUGGCCGAGAAGGGCUGAAGGGACGUAGAGGACGCCGCCUGGUCUGCAGUCCGCGAGUGUGUCCGCGGCAUGAAGGUGUCAGCGUGAAAACGCGUGACCCGCGUGGAGCGUCCACCCAUUCAAGCGACGCGCGGUUUCGGUCUUUUCAUCGCCUGGAAAGAUUUGCCCAAAGAGGGCGCAUGUCUCCUCGGUUCUGUUGAAGCAGGUGUUCAGGACAGAAACCUAAUGGACAAGAUCAGGAUUCAGCUAAAGUACAACCUUUAAAGUUCUCUCCAAAUUCGCAGUUUACCCAGCUUCAAAGAAAAUUUCCAUUCCAGUAAGAUGCUGAUCCUUUAUCCCUGUACCUGAGCUGCAUACACCCAUCUGGAUACAGUGUUCAGGCUCACGGCGCAUACAGUCCAUCCACAAGCGCUGCGAUUUCCAACUGCCGACACAUCUGUCCGUUCAGUGAGUCCUUCCUCCACUGCCACCUGCCUGGGCCACGUUGCCAUCGUCUCUCCAGGGUGCCCUUCUCAUUGGUGCCCACUCUUCACCUCAGCAGGAACAGUGAACUUUCAAGGCAGAAAUAAAGUCAUGAGGCUUCCUUAUUCAA